rnacentral:lncRNA from 13 species
CAUCUAACCAAAUGUUUUUUGGCCGCUGAAAAAUCCUGCCAUUGGUCAGACUCGGCAAUAGGCACAUCCCAUACACCUGGUGAUGCGCGCUCAGCCCCGCAUCCCGGGCCGGGGGGGACAAAGCCGGGAGCGGGGAUCUGUCAGGCCCCGGGCCGGGAGCUCAGGCGAGCGCGAUGCCAGGUUAACAAUUUGCAAUUUGCCUCCCUCCUGGACGCCGCGGCAGCCCUCCAUUUUGUCAGCCGCCUCAAUUUAAACGUUUUCCAAGUCGAACGCAGAACUUCAACAUUUCUUCGGGAGCCCUCCGAGGCUUUAAAGCAUCCCCGACCAUUUUACGCAGCCCGCUCGCAGCCAGCGCUCCGGGCUAAGUUUAGCGGGGCAGCCGCGCACGCCGCGGCUCACGGGCAGCGCCGAGCCCCCCGCGGGGCAGCCCGCGGGCUCCUUCCCAUCGCUUCUCCCAGCGGCGCCUGCUCCCGCCCCGCGCUCCGGCGGCGCCCGGCCUCCUCCCCGCACGGGGAGAGGCAGGUGGAUGUCGGGAGGACGGGAAGGAAGGGACGCGAGGCAGGAGCCGCCGCGGGCAGCGGGGUGCCGGCAGCAGGUAGGGAGGGCAGCGCGGGGCGGCCGCCGGUGCCUGCGGUGCCUGUGCCGUUCCCCCUCCCUCCGGCCCCUGUUCUUACCACCUGCGGAGGCGGCCGGAGCACGCCCGGCCCGGGGCAGCGACCUGUCCACUGCGGGCGCUCUCCUCCGGAGCAUCAGAUUCCCAGAAUGACCGAAACGACUACAAACACACGGGAAGAGCAGGCACAAGGAGAGAAACGAGCGAGAGAAAAGAGUUUUGCUGGUCAGUAAACUUCAAGCUGCUGGGAUGAGGUCAUUGGUAUAAAAAUAAAGCGAUGGCGUCAUUUGAAACCAAUCCCAGUGAAUGAACUCAGCCGGGGGGUGAAGGUGGGGGGAGAGGGUGAAGGAGAAAGAGGAGGAGCAGCGAGAGAGGAUCCCUGCGGGGCAGCGGCCGCCGCGCAGCCCCGGCGGCGGGAGGCGAUGGCGGUGGGGGGGGAGCGGGUCUCUCGCUGUCCCCAGGGCAAACACAGACCCGCGGCCCCCAGCGACAGCCGCCGGGCCGCCUCUGGGAGGAGCCGCGGAGCGAUUCAAUCGAGCCGCCGCCACGGCCCUUCCCCGCCCCUCGCCCGGCCCUCGCUCCGCUCCGCUCCGGCCCCUCCGCAGGGCCCGCCCCGCCCACGGCCCCUUUCCCGCGCGGCCCGGGGCCUGCCCGGCAUGUGGCGCCUCGCGACGCCUCGGCGCCGGAGCCCUGGCCCCUCGGCCCCCUCAGCCUAGGCCCCUCGGCCACCUCCCCUCCCUUCUGCCCUGCACCAGCUCAGGGGGCAUCCCUAAAUAGCGUCCUGGCCUUUGCUUUUACAAUGAGCCACUGUGCGGUGCGGUGCUGAACCACCUGGGUGUGAAGGCGUUACAUCCUGCUGCCGUAGUGUUACGGGAUCAUACAAUCACAGAGUGAGGGAAGGGAGCUUAAAGUCAUGCAGUUCCAACCCCUGUCACUGAGGUCAGCAGAGCACCUUCUGGGCCAUGUGGAACAUUGGGGGCCUUUGCCCUUUAGAUAACCUUGCUAAAUAAAUUUGAAAAUCUGAAACUGCCCAGUGAAAAACUAUGCAGAUACACAGAAGCGUAUGUUAUUUUUGUCUGACGUAUCUGUUACGGCUAGUACCAAUCCAAACUAGUGAGGUACAUCCUUCAGGGGCUACAUGGGUCUGCAGAAUAUUCUGCAACCCUGUUCCAAAUAAGACAGAAUAUUCUGCAGUCCUUUCUCCCUCAGAGGCAUCAGUACUAUGGUGAACCUGCCAGCACCGCUGUGUACGCGGGACAUCUUACACACCAAAAUUCAAACUCCAGUCCAUCACCUCUGAUGGCUUUUGAAUCCCUGUGCCAGAAGCCCUUGGAAGACAGCAUGAGGAAGAGGAUUAACUGCAUGGGUCCUUAUGUUCUUGGUGGCUGUCUCUUCAAACGAAGUGCCUUCGGAAAAGCACAUGGCUAUCACUCAGUAAAAUGGUUUGGGUGGUUGGUGCUUCAGGAAGCAGGUAACUCUGAAUAAAUUGUAUGGUGGUGGGCUCUGUCCUGGCAAUAUUGACCAGGAGCCACCUUGAUGAAGGGCCUUGUGUUAAGGAGUUGUGAGCUGUCUCAUGAGAAAGCCUUGUUGGCACUCAUACUGAACAGUCUCGUCCUGUGUGAGGGAAUGCAGAGCAUGCAGGAGAGAGAGAAGCCCAAGCUCCAUCAGAGAGACAGAAGAUCAAAAGCAGUGAAGAAAUUAUGGUAAAGCAAUUAACAUUGGGAUGUCCACUAUUUUGCAUGUGUCUGUUUUCCAGUAGCUGAAAAGCAAUUUUGCCUUGUGUCUCAAUAAAGCAGUGGCCCCAAAGAUGCCUUUCCCAAACCCCCAAAGUGCCCACAGCAUUAAAAAUCUGCACAAUUAACUGCUGGUUAAUGGAGCUAGAACUGACCCAUUUUGACGAAGGUGAUCAGAGAGCGUGCCAGAGAAACUGGAGGUGACAGCCAGUGCCCCAGCUCUUUCAUUCCAGAAAAUUGCAGGAACAAAUAGUUCCAGCAUGGUUAUCCUCACAAAGAGAAGUAAGGAGCAGCGGAGAGAGAUGCGUGGUGAGGAGGAAGGACAUUUCAAUUCUCUCUUCCCUUUUGUCAUCUCAACUCAAUAACACCUUAUGUAACACGUUUGGGUUUUGUUUAAGUUGUGAGACUGUAAAAGUUUCCUGACUGUAAAACUGUAAGAAUAGGAAGUACUUGUGAUCUUUUGAAAAGAUUUUUCUUUCUAGCUGAAAAAAAGGAUAUAUGCAGAGAAGCCUGUACUAGAACAGCAAGUUAAAGCUUUUUCAAUAUAAAGUCAGGAUAUUUCUUUUUCCUAAUGUAAUAAAAGGUGUGACAAAACCAGUGGUAUCACUAUUAAUUCCUGCAUGUUGAAAUUAUUACUAAGAAUAACUUUUCACCUGAGGUUGAGCCGAAAGUCUGGUGUGGGAGAACAUUGCAGGGUGAAACUGGACAGGUUCAUUGCUAACCUGAAGACACAAACAGAAGGAGUCAGGAGGACUCAGACACAGCAGCAUCAGACCUCGCUUCAUUGAGAAUAGGAGCUGCAUCUCCUGUUUGUAGUGGACAAAGUGUGAGUGUGUUGGCGGCUGACAUCCCUCCAGCUGGCCGUGGCCACUCGUGUAGGAGUAGUAACUCCUUAGCAUGUCAGAGUCUAACUCUGGCUUAACUCUUUUUUUUUUCCCCUAUGAGAGCCUUUUUUUCCUCCCUACCACUUGCACAGAGCAGGCUCCUGGAAAUGAUCUGAAUUGCAGGUGCAAAUCAGGAGAGAGUCAGGCCUUAGUCUGGCGAACACCUGAACCAUCUGGCAGAGAGAGAGUGCCUGUUUUUGGUGGUGUCCCUGGCUGCUGACCUCCCCUCCCCAAGUUUUUAAAGUCCGUCAAUUCUGUGAAAUGUAUUUUGCUACACUUCUGGUGAUGGAUUUUUUGGCCUAAGUUCACUGUUCCUUUUUGAGAAUGUGGUAUGGAAAGAGUUAAAGUUAGUGUUCCUUUCUUGUGCCUCCUUAUGAGGCUUAUGAGAUAAGAAGAUCGAAGUGUCUAUAUGGGGUAAAACAAGGGCAAAAGACACUAUGGUGGCUAUCCAACAGGCUAUGCAACAGCCCAUGAACUUUGAUACUCCCCCCUUCCUACCUGUUCAUGUCUCACUUCUGGCAUGAGUGGCUGCAAGUGUGUCACCCCUCACUGCCCCUGUUCCUGGGGGCCAGGGAGGGACAAUAGCUGGGUACUUUUAAGAGCUGAAGGUCAUGCACCUUUUUUACAAAGGUUUCUCUUUCUUUUUUAGUAAAAGCUAGCGCAGCUUUUUGUUCCUUUUCCAGCUAAUGGAUUUUGUGGCACUUCAUUUGGUUAAUCAGUUAGCAGUGAUUAAACAGGGGAAAGAUGAAUGACAGUCGGAGUAACGUCAUCAUGGUUUCUGCACAGUGGAAAGGAGUGGUUUGCCAGGGAAACCUCUUGCGAAAUAAGUGAGAAUUGAACUAUAAGCACAGAAUUUACCCUGCUUUAAAAUCCCCUUGUGGGUGCUCACUUCCUCCAUAGGCUGAAGUUGUUGAAGAAGUUAUCAUUCCCAGACAGCUUCCAGUCACUGUGGCUGUCUUCUGCCAAAGGCUACCACCUCCCCUCCCUACCUGCAAGCUGCUCACUCAAUCCCUCCCAAACUUGUUUUCACCAAAGUCAACCAGAACAGCUUAAGCAGUUUAAACAGUAGAAGUCAGCUGCACUGGUUUGUUUUGGCCGAAAUGGAUUAGGGGAAACCCAAGUCACCAGAUGGGAAGUGAGGUGAUGACUUUUUCAUGGACAGCUUCAGGGGCAGUGGGAGGUUGGGCCUAAUCUGCUUUCAGAGCAGACUUUUGUACCAGACAUGACUGCUACCGACAG